UACGUAGGGUGCGAGCGUUGUCCGGAAUUAUUGGGCGUAAAGAGCCCGUAGGCGGUUCGUCGCGUCGAAUGUGAAAACCCGGGGCUCAACUCCGGGCCUGCAUUCGAUACGGGCGGACUAGAGUUCGGUAGGGGAGACUGGAAUUCCUGGUGUAGCGGUGAAAUGCGCAGAUAUCAGGAGGAACACCGGUGGCGAAGGCGGGUCUCUGGGCCGAGUACUGACGCUGAGGAGCGAAAGCGUGGGGAGCGAACAGG
rnacentral:rRNA from 1 species